rnacentral:rRNA from 1 species
UAGAGUUUGAUCAUGGCUCAGGAUGAACGCCGGCGGUGUGCCUAAUACAUGCAAGUCGAACGCGUUGGCCCAAUUGAUUGAUGGUGCUUGCACCUGAUUGAUUUUGGUCGCCAACGAGUGGCGGACGGGUGAGUAACACGUAGGUAACCUGCCCAGAAGCGG